rnacentral:rRNA from 1 species
UCCGUAGGUGAACCUGCGGAAGGAUCAUUACCGUGGGGAUUCGUCCCUAUCGAGAUAGCACCCUUUGUUUAUGAGUACCAUCUGUUUCCUCGGCGGGUCUGCCUGGACCCGCCGCUAGGACCCCUCCAAAAACCUUUGUAGUUGCAGUAACUUCAGUAAAUAACAAAAAUAUCAAAACUUUCAACAACGGAUCUCUUGGUUCUGGCAUCGAUGAAGAACGCAGCGAAAUGCGAUAAGUAGUGUGAAUUGCAGAAUUCAGUGAAUCAUCGAAUCUUUGAACGCACAUUGCGCCCUUCGGUAUUCCGUUGGGCAUGCCUGUUCGAGCGUCAUUUAAACCUUCAAGCUCUGCUUGGUGUUGGGCGUUUGUUCCGCCUCCGCGCGUGGACUCGCCUCAAAUUCAUUGGCAGCCGGUCAGUUGGCUUCGUGCGCAGCACAUUGCGUAUCGGCUCCAGCUUGCCUCCUACCAUUAAGCUAUUCUAUCUCUUUUGACCUCGGAUCAGGUAGGGAUACCCGCUGAACUUAAGCAUAUCAAUAAGCGGAGGA